GGACCCAGCUGACAAACUGGUGAGGCACAGAGCAUGUUACCUUCGAGACACUGCAUAUGCAUUAAUCAAAGCUGAAAUGGAUAGUGAUUUCGAAGAACAGUGCAAAUCAAUAAGAGGUGCAAGGCAGCAACGAGAGAAAGUUGAAAGCUCAGUCCAUGUAGCAGAGUCUUUUGUGCCAGAAUUCGUUCAUACCAAGCCAGUGACUGAAACUCACCCUGCGCUUGCGCCAUCCUGGUAUCAGAAAGACACUGUGAAUAAAAAAGAAAAUGGUCCUCAAGCAAGUGCUACAAACACCUACAACUCAAGUAAUGUAAAGAGAAGGAAGCGGCGAACAUCUCUAUGGGCAAAAGGAAUAGCAGCCAAAAAGAAAAAGAUUGUUAAAUCAGAGCCCAGUGCAAAUGAAACGGAAAAUAGUCCAGGGACUCCACCCUCCAAAAAACUUUCUGUUCCAAUACGAAUCUAGCGAAGAAAAAUAGUUGCUCACCAACUUCACCAGCAGUAUCUGCGGUAGAAAAUUCAAUGACAACUCCAGCUAGGUACCCAACAAAAGCUGAAAGGAAGGAACCAUGUCAGAUGGCAACAAGCACGCCAAUUCACAUUACUCACAGGACAAGGAGCUCCUCCCGAGAGCAUGCAUCUACAGAGAAGACCGCAGAAGAACCUCUUGUUAAUGGUUACAAUGAAUCUUCUGAUGAAGAAAUGGCUGCCAAAGAAGAAAAGGAAGAGACAGUGAUGGAUGUAGAGGAAUCAGCGUUGUUAAGUGAUGAUGAUAGUGAAGAUUGUCAGUCUCCUGUUCUCCUAAAGAAAGAAGUGAAUGUCAUCACUGUGUCUAAAACAGCUCUUGGCUUGUUAUUAUCUGAAGUAGUACAAGUAACAGAAGAUGUCGAAUCCAUUGAGCCUUUAAUUUACCUGUAUAGUCAGUUUCGAAAAUAAUUGGUCUGUACAUUAAGAAAACGGACCGAACCAAUUUAGUGCAGGACUUGCAAGAAGAAUUGCAAAGGUUUGUAAGGUUCUUUGUCACGCGUGAAGAAGAUCCUGAUCUAAAUUUGGAUGAAAGCAUAUGUACAAUCCUAGAAACAUCAACUGCUCAGCAGUGUUAGUGAUCUCUCUUGCUCAAAAACAUCCAUUCACGUAAAUAAACGUAUCUACUAAUAUUUGUAAAUAUUCUUGGAACUUUCUCCGAAGUGUUCCAUUUUCACCAAAACUAUGGAAAAUAUUGCUUUAAUUUUUCUCACACUUCAUAAUUAUGUUUGUGUAAAUGAUCGUGUGGAGUAUCACUUAAACGUGAGAUCUUACUUUUUGACUUGUGAUCUUAGUCUGUUUGUGAUCAGUUACUUCCACUGCCAUUUUAUUGAUGGGGGAGUCUCAGUUUGAUCUUCCCCUGACUAUUUUAUGUAAUCUGCCUGUUUUAUAUUCUUAUUUUUUAUUUUUAUGUAUUUGAUGAGAAGUUGGUUACUCAUCAAACAAGCAUGUAUCGUUUUAAUCAAAAUUUUUAUUUUUUUCAACAUUUUAAUACAACCUGAACAAACAAGUGUAGUUGAGGUGUUAUACUUUCGCUGUCAGUCAGAAUCGUAGCUUGCACCAUGUACAUUUCAUGAUUUGGAUACGUGCAGUAUUUGGAAAGAUCUUAAAUCUUUUAAAAUUUGUUGAAAUUGUUUCCAGGAAUUUCAUCAUUACUAUUUCCUAAAGUUUGAUCAGACCACAAAACAGGGUAUAAAGUUAAGCUCCAGAACGUACGUCUUUGGAUCGAAAUUGGACAUAGAAUACGUUGGACGCAUUUAAUAUUUCCCAAUUCAACUCAUAAGUGAGAAAGUAGCGGUUUUUGUUCACGUUGAUUCACACCUUCCACUCACAAUAAAACCAAAGUCUUCUCGAGUCCAAUGAAGCACUUAACUAACAUUUCGGGAUUUUUAAUAAUUGAAGAAUUUUCCUGUGCACAAACUUUUUUUCGACAAGAUUGAAGGUAUUUUGUGUUAGAAGAAGGAGAAAAUGUGUUCAAAACUGAGCUUUAGUUAUUUUGUAAUGUGUAGGUUGAUUUCAAUGCCAAAUUUGGUCUGCGAUGAUUAUUGUUUUUUGUGAGAGGGAAGUUUGAAUUUAUUGCUCAUUAUGGAAACAACUAACGUGUAUUUCUAGUUUAUGAGUUGAUUUUUGAAGUUUUCAUUAUGUUAAACAUUUUCUGCACGCAAUUUUGACGUGAGACAUGUGCUGCAGUGCUUAAUUUCGUACUUUGUCUAAUGAUCCAUUGCAACACUUAUUUUUUGUCCAGGCAAUGAAGUAAAACAAAGAGAGAAAAAAAAAAGGGCUCAGAAUUUCAAAGACCUUACACUAUUUUCUCCUAUUAUAGGCAUACUGACCUCAUGCCUCAUGUCAUAAUUUAUUGAACUUGGAGAAUCCAAGAGCUUCCUUGACGGGAAGGGAAGGUCUAGUGGCAUAGGUUGACUGGAAGACUGGUAUAGCUAUUUAAUAACCAUGACUGCUGGUUGAUCUGCUCAGCCAGGCAGGGAACUUGUUAAUGAAUGAUAUUGCACGGUAGUUUUAAGAUGUGUCUUAGCUGAAUCAACGAAUCAAAUUUUACUUGGUGAAAAGAACGUUCUUCCCUUGCCAAAAAUCACUAGUUGUUCAUUAUUUUGAUGGAGCAACUGCUACAUAUUUCAUGCUUUCUUCCAAAACUCUUGAGUGUUCAAAGAAUUGAAGAGUUGCCAUGGCUUUGAAUCUCUUAAUAAGUUAAUUUCAAAAGGGCUACUCAACAUUUUGACAAUAGAGCUAUGCUAGCCUGCACGAAUGAUUAUGGGCCAGUUUUCCAAAACUCUUAAAAUGAAGAUUAGAGAAAGGAAGAUGAUUUUAAUAACACUGUUGAUAUUAGUUAAUGUCAGAGUUAAUCGCAGUUCGAGGACUAACGAAUCAUACCGCCUAACUGACAAUUUGGCAAAAAUGAGUCAGCGACUCUGCUGCAUUUUACAGCAUAAAAUAUGCAAGCUGGUGAUUGUAGUUUUCUCCAAUUCUGUAGUGGAGCGCUGUAAUGUAUGAAAAAAUUGUAAAUGUAGCCUUAAAACUACAAAAUAAUGCGAAAUUUUCUCUUCGUUCUGCAAAAUCGUAUGUUUGCAGAUAGGCGGUAUCGUUCGUUAGCCAUCGAGUUCUAAUGUAAGACUGCUUCUAAUGUAAUAAGACUGGAGAUGCCUGCAUUUCAUUUUUGGAGUGAGUCAACUUUACGUUCUGUUCCAGCUAAUUCAGAAAUGCUUUCUCCUCGUUCAUUAGCUUCUUGAUGUAUUUAAGCUCGCAAGGAAGCCACAACAGGUUUGUUGCAGGCAAGCUAAUAUAGCCAAGAAAUCAGACUUUCCAAAGGUGAAUCAUAAUGGGCAAAAUAGAAAAUUGAAAUCCACUCUUUUGUGCGCAAUUUGUGUAGUUUGUAAUUAGCUUUGUCUGCAAUCAGGUUUACCCUGAAAGAUAAAUGAAAACGCUUGAAGUGUUUGUUUCCUCAUUUUUUCUUAUGUUGCCAAAACGGAAGCUUUAAAUGAAUAGAAAUUAUACAUAGGGAAAGCUUGUAAUAGUUCACAGGACUGUUUGUAGUCUUAAUUUGGUUUUUUUGAGUUUCUCUCCGUGAAAAAUGUUACUGGUUACUAAGAAAAACAUCCCGCAGAUGCAGGAAAUUUGUAAAUGCAUGUUAUAAACUGUGCAGAUUAUUUGUAUGGGCGGAUCAGGAGUGGAUUCCAAACUUUCUUGACGUGUUCAUUGAGAUCUUUGUGUGAUUUUACCAAUUCAAAGUCUGUUCACUUAGCUCUAUUUCCUGUGUGCAAUAGACCCAUUGCUCCACAAUUAAUUUUCUUGUGACAUGAAUGAUAUUUGAAAGUUGUCCCGCCAAAAUCAUAUAAAAAGCAGAAGGAGUUCAAGAAAGAUUAUUUAAACGUUCUCAUUUUUAAAAUAACCAUUUUCUUUUUCUCUUUCUUUCCUUCUUACUCAUAAGAAAUUUAGUGCCCAAAAGCAGAAAAUGUAAGAUAUCAGAGGUAUACAAUUGUUAAUUGACCUAAAACAUUAUUUUAAGAUGGAUUUGAAACUUGAUAUAUAAAUUAUUGUAUUUUUUUCUUUCUACCAGUGGAGAAUGUUACAUCAAUCACGUUUUUCUGAUAGUAACAAAAAACGUCUACUGUCAACUAGCUUUUGAAAUCAAGAUCUCUGUUAGACCAAUUUGUUCAAACUUAAACCUCAGUGGUACCCACGUUAUUUUUCAGUGAUGAUAAUUCAAAUAUUUUUCCUCGUUUACUUGAAUUUUUUUUUAAUUCUUAUUCCUCUUAAAUUUUAGAUUUUUAAAAUUAUUUAAGAUUAUUGUAUCUCGUCACUUUGUGAAAUGAAAUAUUUUUUGAAAAUUCUAAUAAGCAUAUGUAUUUCUUUCACUUUUAUCAUUCCUGUAUAUUUAUUCUUUUUUUUUAAUUUUUUUUGUGCAUUUCAUUUAAUUUUGGUCCUCAUAGACUAGGAAAUAGAAGAAGAAAGCAAGCCUAGCACUAUUUGUCGUUGAUAGGAAGUAAAUUUAUUCAUAAAUCAUUCUGAGGUAAUGAAAUGAAAUUGAUAUAACUUGAAAGUUGAGUAAAGGAAAGAAGAUGUAAUCAAUUUAAAAUGCCCAAGAACCUUGAAAAAUAAUCAUCCAACUUUAUUCAAUCAACGAUGGAAACAAUAUAUAAUUUGAAAUUUUUAACAAACAGUCAGUUUCAAUAAAAAAUAAAAACACAGCAGCUGACUCAAUGCUCAGAAGGAAAAAAACAAUCUUGAAGUGGGAAAACUAAAGCAUCUGACAGUUGUUUACUCUCCAGAAGUUACUGUAAAAUGCAAGGAGAGUAUCCCAAGUUUCCUCCAAAUUCGAUCAGUGGUCUCACAUAGAAAUGUUGAAGUGUUGUUUGGGAAGAACGAAUAAAAAGAAUCUGCAACAGAGAAGUGGAAAAGAUGGUUAGAAGCAGAAGAUAACCUGGUGAAAAAACAAUGUUAGUUGUCGCUUGACAGUUCUUCACAGAGCUAAUUUUUAGAAAACUUUUUCUUCAAGUAUCGUCAGUGAGAAAAUAAUGUUUCGAUUGAGUACAUAUUUUGGUAUGAGAAUGAGUAUUUUUUCUAUGGCUGGGCAAAAAGCUUUCUUCUUAUACUUCCUCUUGAGGGUUAGUCAGGAUGAAGAGCUUGUGAGAAACUAGUUUCCAGUGCACGUUCGAUUAGAGGAUACAAUAAUGGAGGUCUUAAGAUAAAUCAGUUGCUUCAAGUAAUAUUCAAAAUUUUUAUUAAUUUUGCCAAAAACUAGUAAAAACAGUGUGAUAAUAUGG
rnacentral:lncRNA from 1 species